rnacentral:rRNA from 1 species
AGCGAACGCUGGCGGCAGGCCUAACACAUGCAAGUCGAACGAACUCUUCGGAGUUAGUGGCGGACGGGUGAGUAACACGUGGGAACGUGCCUUUAGGUUCGGAAUAACUCAGGGAAACUUGUGCUAAUACCGAAUGUGCCCUUCGGGGGAAAGAUUUAUCGCCUUUAGAGCGGCCCGCGUCCGAUUAGCUAGUUGGUGAGGUAAAGGCUCACCAAGGCUACGAUCAGUAGCUGGUCUGAGAGGAUGACCAGCACAUUGGGACUGAGACACGGCCCAAACUCCUACGGGAGGCAGCAGUGGGGAAUCUUGCGCAAUGGGCGAAAGCCUGACGCAGCCAUGCCGCGUGGAUGAUGAAGGUCUUAGGAUUGUAAAAUCCUUCCACCGGUGAAGAUAAUGACUGUAGCCGGAGAAGAAGCCCCGGCUAACUUCGUGCCAGCAGCCGCCGUAACAC